UGACCAGACUCCUACGGGAGGCAGCAGUGGGGAAUAUUGGACAAUGGGGGGAACCCUGAUGCAGCGACGCCGCGUGGGUGAAGGAGCGCUUCGGCGCGUAAAGCCCUAUCGGCAGGGAAGAAGGAGGACGGUACCUGACUAAGAAGCCCCGGCUAACUACGUGCCAGCAGCCGCGGUAAUACGUAGGGGGCAAGCGUUAUCCGGAUUUACUGGGUGUAAAGGGAGCGUAGACGGCGAUGCAAGCCAGAUGUGAAAGCCCGGGGCUCAACCCCGGGACUGCAUUUGGAACUGUGUAGCUGGAGUGUCGGAGAGGCAGGCGGAAUUCCUAGUGUAGCGGUGAAAUGCGUAGAUAUCAGGAGGAACACCGGCGGCGAAGGCGGCCUGCUGGACCGUAACUGACGUUGAGGCUCGAAAGCGUGGGGAGCAAACAGGAUUAGAUACCCCCGUAC
rnacentral:rRNA from 1 species